GAAACCUGGUUGAUCCUGCCAGUAGUCAUAUGCUUGUCUCAAAGAUUAAGCCAUGCAUGUCUGAGUAUAAGCUUUCAAACGGCGAGACUGCGAAUGGCUCAUUAAAACAGUUAUAGUUUAUUUGAUGGUCGUUGUCCUACAUGGAUAACCGUAGUAAUUCUAGAGCUAAUACAUGCGCAAAGACCCGACUUCAC
rnacentral:rRNA from 1 species